AAGCAGUGUGCAGGGUUGUUUU
rnacentral:miRNA from 1 species